AAGUUCUUAUGAUGUUGAAUUUUCUUUUAUGGAUAUUUCUGUAUAAAAUGAUAGCUGCUUUGGGCAUGUUCCCACGUGCUAAUGUUCGCCGACUCUGUGACAUACUGUCUUUGAGAACAAUUUGAUGAACCACCAUGUAUAUAGUGAAUAUGUUUUUUACAAGAUAUAAUGAAUAAGUUGUUAAGUCAGUUUUUAUCUCUCAUCUCUCUAAUA
rnacentral:lncRNA from 1 species